GACGAACCGAGCGAACGUUGUUCGGAAUCACUGGGCUUAAAGGGCGCGUAGGCGGGCUGUCAAGUCUGGGGUGAAAUCCCGCGGCUCAACCGUGGAACUGCCUUAGAUACUGACGGCCUCGAGGGAGGUAGGGGCGAGCGGAACUGUGAGUGGAGCGGUGAAAUGCGUUGAUAUUCACAGGAACUCCGGUGGCGAAGGCGGCUCGCUGGACCUCUUCUGACGCUGAGGCGCGAAAGCUAGGGGAGCAAGCGGG
rnacentral:rRNA from 1 species